AGUUUCCUUUCUUCUCUCAGGGAGCCAAGGGAGUUUGUGGAGAAUUCUGAGUGCAUACAGUGCCAUCCGGAAUGCCUGCCCCAAGCCAUGAAUAUAACCUGCACAGGACGGGGACCGGACAGCUGCGUCAAGUGUGCUCACUACAUCGAUGGCCCUCACUGCGUCAAGACCUGCCCGGCUGGCAUCAUGGGUGAGAACAACACCCUGGUCUGGAAGUUUGCGGAUGCCAAUCGCGUGUGCCACCUGUGCCAUUCCAACUGUACCUACGGGUGAGUGGGAACUCUGUCUGCUGAAGACGCGGGACAAGACAUCUCCUGUUCUGAUUAUGUGUAACCCAAAAAGAAGGAGUCAGGUGGAGGACCGGGAAUCACUUUUCUGAUGAAAUUAGAUGCUACUGUGAGAUGACCUUUUACUUCAUGUUCAGCCACCAUUUCUCCAUAUCAGUCUUCCCAAGGGCCUCUUCAUCUCGCGACUCACUCCCACUCUCUCCCAGCACCUGGCCUGUCGCUGUCCUUGUCAGUCCCCUCUUCAGACGUGACUGGCCUUUCCUUCCCUCUGAGCUGCUCAGGUAGCCUCCCCACCCAGGAACCCCCACAGUUGCCCUGCAGCAUCUUCAGAGGCUGCUAAGCCCUGCCGGUGGCCCCAGAAUUUAUGACUUCAGUUUACACUCACUGUGCAUGGUGUUGCCUUUCGGGGACCGCCAGGCACUGUGGGGGAGAAAAAGUGAGGGAGCAAAGAGAUUUUGAGCAGGGUGUGAGUUCAUCAGUGGUCAUUCAUUAGUGAUGCCUUUCGUCUUUGAUUUUUGGUUUUCCUAGAAGA